GACGAACGCUGGCGGCGUGCUUAACACAUGCAAGUCGAACGGAAAGGCCUGCUUUCCCUUGUGGAUUGCGGGUACUCGAGUGGCGAACGGGUGAGUAACACGUGAGUGAUCUGCCCCCAGCUUGAGUAUAAGCCUGGGAAACUGGGUCUAAUUCCCGAUAGGACUGCAGGGUGGUGCCUGUGGUGGAAAACGAUUUUCUAGUGGUUGGGGAUGAGCUCGCGGCCUAUCAGCUUGUUGGUGGGGUAAUGGCCUACCAAGGCGGCGACGGGUAGCCGGCCUGGGAGGGUGGACGGCCACAUUGGGACUGAGAUACGGCCCAGACUCCUACGGGAGGCAGCAGUGGGGAAUAUUGCACACUGGGCGGAAGCCUGAUGCAGCGACGCCGCGUGGGGGAUGACGGCCUUCGGGUUGUAAUCUCCUUUCGACCGCGAGGAAGCCACCUGGUUGGAAGGGUGGUGACGGUAGUGGUAGAAGAAGCACCGGCUAACUACGUG
rnacentral:rRNA from 1 species